AGAGUUUGAUCCUGGCUCAGAUUGAACGUUGGCGGCAGGCUUAACCCAUGCAAGUCGAACGAGAAAGCACCUUCGGGUGUGAGUAAAGUGGCGGACGGGUGAGUAACGCGUAGGAAUCUACCCAGUAGUAGGGGACAACUCGAGGAAACUCGAGCUAAUACCGUAUACGUUCCUGGUAACAGGAAGAAAGAGGGCCACUAUUUAUAAGCUCUCGCUAUUGGAGGAGCCUGCGUUGGAUUAGCUAGUUGGUGAGGUAACGGCUCACCAAGGCUACGAUCUAUAGCUGGUCUGAGAGGACGAUCAGCCACACUGGAACUGAGACACGGUCCAGACUCCUACGGGAGGCAGCAGGGGGGAAUCUUGGUCAAUGGGGGCAACCCUGAACCAGCCAUGCCGCGUGUGUGAAGAAGGCCUUCGGGUUGUAAAGCACUUUCAGUAGCGAAGAAAAGCUUAGGGUUAAUACCCCUGGGUCUUGACGUUAACUACAGAAGAAGGACCGGCUAACUCCGUGCCAGCAGCCGCGGUAAUACGGAGGGUCCGAACGUUAAUCGGAAUUACUGAGCGUAAAGCGCGCGUAGGCGGUGCGGUAAGUGGGAUGUGAAAGCCCCGGGCUUAACCUGGGAAUUGCAUUCCAAACUGCCGGACUAGA
rnacentral:rRNA from 1 species